AGGCACCAAUGCAGGCCCAGACAACAGCUCACAACUUCCUCCAUUAACCUCAUACAACUCACUUUCUGCUCUCUUUUAAAAUUAUUGGUAUCAAUGUUUGGACCUUUCAGGAAUUCAUGGAGGUUUUUCUCAAUGAUUGCACAGCAGGGUCAUCCAGAGAACUUUCAAAAAUCCAGAUGCCAACACUGCACCUCAGUGGACCUUGGGAAGACACACAAAUGAAGUCCAUCUUUCACUGCUUUCUAGAAUGCUGCCUGCUGCACUUGCUCAGGAUGAAGUAAAUGUCAACCUGAAUUGCACUGGAACAGAUACAUAUUGAAAUUGAAGAUGCUAUACAUUGUAAACGCGCUCCAAAUUUCCUGAUACUGUAUAAGUAAAGGUGUGAUGAGAAAGGCUAUAAAUAACAAACAAAAG
rnacentral:lncRNA from 1 species